GACAGAGGGUGCAAACGUUGCUCGGAUUUACUGGGCGUAAAGCGCAUGUAGGCGGGCGAUUAAGUCGGGUGUGAAAUCCCUGGGCUCAACCUAGGAACUGCAUCCGAAACUGAUCACCUUGAGUAGUGGAGAGGAAAGCGGAAUUCCGGGUGUAGAGGUGAAAUUCGUAGAUAUCCGGAGGAACACCAGUGGCGAAGGCGGCUUUCUGGACACUAACUGACGCUGGAGAAUGCGAAAGCGUGGGGAGCAAACAGG
rnacentral:rRNA from 1 species